UGGGUAGUUUGACUGGGGCGGUCGCCUCCUAAAAAGUAACGGAGGUGUACAUAUGGUAAGUUUAUGUUGAAAUGUUCAACAAAAAUGCAUAAUAGCAAAUACUUGCUUGACUGUUAGAUAUAUAUAUCAAGCAGAGACGAAAGUCGGUUAUAAUGAUCCGGUGAUUCUGUGUGGAAAAGGUCAUCGCUCAACAGAUAAAAGGUACGCCGGGGAUAAC
rnacentral:rRNA from 1 species